rnacentral:rRNA from 1 species
AGCGAACGCUGGCGGCAGGCUUAACACAUGCAAGUCGAGCGGCCACCCAGUAGGUGUCAGCGGCAGACGGGUGCGUAACGCGUGGGAACGUGCACUACGUCUCGGAAUAACUCAGGGUAACUGAUGCUAAUACCGGACACGCGCUAGAGCAGCAUGGGUCAUCUGCGCAAGGAUGGGCGCGCGUCUGAUUAGCUAGUUGGGGAGGUUACGGUGCACGAAUGCCACGAUCAGCAGAUGGGCAGAGAGGAAGGUUAGAGACACUGGGACGUGGACACGGCCCAGAAUACUACGGGAAGCAGGAGAGGGGAAUAUUGCAAAAUGGCGUCAAUCCUGAUCGAGCCAUGCCGGGUGAGUGAUGUUGGCCUUAGGGUUGUAAAGCUCUUUUAUCCGGGACGAUAAUGACGGUACCGGAGGAAUAAGCCCCGGCUAACUUCGUG